rnacentral:rRNA from 1 species
UACGGGGGGGGCAAGCGUUGUUCGGAAUUACUGGGCGUAAAGGGCGCGUAGGCGGCCCUCUUAGUCGGACGUGAAAUCCCCAGGCUUAACUUGGGAACUGCGUCCGAUACUGGAGGGCUUGAGUGCGGGAGAGGGAUGUGGAAUUCCAGGUGUAGCGGUGAAAUGCGUAGAUAUCUGGAGGAACACCGGUGGCGAAGGCGGCAUCCUGGACCGACACUGACGCUGAUGCGCGAAAGCUAGGGGAGCAAGCGGG